rnacentral:rRNA from 1 species
AGCAUACAAGGCAUACGGCUCAGUAACGCGUAGUCAACCUAACCUAUGGACGGGAAUAACCUCGGGAAACUGAGAAUAAUGCCCGAUAGAACAUUAUGGCUGGAAUGGUUUAUGUUCCAAAUGAUUUAUCGCCGUAGGAUGGGACUGCGGCCUAUCAGUUUGUUGGUGAGGUAAUGGCCCACCAAGACUAUUACAGGUACGGGCUCUGAGAGGAGUAGCCCGGAGAUGGGUACUGAGACACGGACCCAGGCCCUAUGGGGCGCAGCAGGCGAGAAAACUUUGCAAUGUGCGAAAGCACGACAAGGUUAAUCCGAGUGGUUUCUGCUAAAGAAACCUUUUGUCAGUCCUAGAAACACUGAUGAAUAAGGGGUGGGCAAGUUCUGGUGUCAGCCGCCGCGGUAAAACCAGCACCUCAAGUGGUCAGGAUGAUUAUUGGGCCUAAAGCAUCCGUAGCCGGCUCUGUAAGUUUUCGGUUAAAUCUGUACGCUCAACGUACAGGCUGCCGGGAAUACUGCAGAGCUAGGGAGUGGGAGAGGUAGACGGUACUCGGUAGGAAGGGGUAAAAUCCUUUGAUCUAUUGAUGACCACCUGUGGCGAAGGCGGUCUACCAGAACACGUCCGACGGUGAGGGAUGAAAGCUGGGGGAGCAAACCGGAUUAGAUACCCGGGUAGUCCCAGCUGUAAACUAUGCAAACUCAGUGAUGCAUUGGCUUGUGGCCAAUGCAGUGCUGCAGGGAAGCCGUUAAGUUUGCCGCCUGGGAAGUACGUACGCAAGUAUGAAACUUAAAGGAAUUGGCGGGGGAGCACCACAAGGGGUGAAGCCUGCGGUUCAAUUGGAGUCAACGCCGGA